rnacentral:rRNA from 1 species
AACGGGUGAGUAACACGUGGGUAACCUGCCCAUCAGAAGGGGAUAACACUUGGAAACAGGUGCUAAUACCGUAUAACAAUCGAAACCGCAUGGUUUUGAUUUGAAAGGCGCUUUCGGGUGUCGCUGAUGGAUGGACCCGCGGUGCAUUAGCUAGUUGGUGAGGUAACGGCUCACCAAGGCCACGAUGCAUAGCCGACCUGAGAGGGUGAUCGGCCACAUUGGGACUGAGACACGGCCCAAACUCCUACGGGAGGCAGCAGUAGGGAAUCUUCGGCAAUGGACGAAAGUCUGACCGAGCAACGCCGCGUGAGUGAAGAAGGUUUUCGGAUCGUAAAACUCUGUUGUUAGAGAAGAACAAGGAUGAGAGUAACUGUUCAUCCCUUGACGGUAUCUAACCAGAAAGCCACGGCUAACUACGUGCCAGCAGCCGCGGUAAUACGUAGGUGGCAAGCGUUGUCCGGAUUUAUUGGGCGUAAAGCGAGCGCAGGCGGUUUCUUAAGUCUGAUGUGAAAGCCCCCGGCUCAACCGGGGAGGGUCAUUGGAAACUGGGAGACUUGAGUGCAGAAGAGGAGAGUGGAAUUCCAUGUGUAGCGGUGAAAUGCGUAGAUAUAUGGAGGAACACCAGUGGCGAAGGCGGCUCUCUGGUCUGUAACUGACGCUGAGGCUCGAAAGCGUGGGGAGCAAACAGGAUUAGAUACCCUGGUAGUCCACGCCGUAAACGAUGAGUGCUAAGUGUUGGAGGGUUUCCGCCCUUCAGUGCUGCAGCUAACGCAUUAAGCACUCCGCCUGGGGAGUACGACCGCAAGGUUGAAACUCAAAGGAAUUGACGGGGGCCCGCACAAGCGGUGGAGCAUGUGGUUUAAUUCGAAGCAACGCGAAGAACCUUACCAGGUCUUGACAUCCUUUGACCACUCUAGAGAUAGAGCUUCCCCUUCGGGGGCAAAGUGACAGGUGGUGCAUGGUUGUCGUCAGCUCGUGUCGUGAGAUGUUGGGUUAAGUCCCGCAACGAGCGCAACCCUUAUUGUUAGUUGCCAUCAUUCAGUUGGGCACUCUAGCAAGACUGCCGGUGACAAACCGGAGGAAGGUGGGGAUGACGUCAAAUCAUCAUGCCCCUUAUGACCUGGGCUACACACGUGCUACAAUGGGAAGUACAACGAGUUGCGAAGUCGCGAGGCUAAGCUAAUCUCUUAAAGCUUCUCUCAGUUCGGAUUGCAGGCUGCAACUCGCCUGCAUGAAGCCGGAAUCGCUAGUAAUCGCGGAUCAGCACGCCGCGGUGAAUAC